GCGGCAUGCUUAACACAUGCGAGUCGCACGGACCCUUCGGGGUCAGUGGCGCACGGGUGAGUAACACGUAGGANUCUGUCUUGAGGUGGGGGAUAACUCCGGGAAACUGGAGCUAAUACCGCAUGAUAACUGAGGUUCAAAGGUCGCAAGACCGCCUUGAGAGGGGCCUGCGUUCGAUUAGUUAGUUGGUGGGGUAAUGGCCUACCAAGACGAUGAUCGAUAGCUGGUUUGAGAGGAUGAUCAGCCACACUGGGACUGAGACACGGCCCAGACUCCUACGGGAGGCAGCAGUGGGGAAUAUUGGACAAUGGGGGCAACCCUGAUCCAGCAAUGCCGCGUGUGUGAAGAAGGUCUUCGGAUUGUAAAACACUUUCGUUGGGGACGAUGAUGACGGUACCCAAAGAAGAAGCCCCGGCUAACUUCGUGCCAGCAGCCGCGGUAAUACGAAGGGGGCGAGCGUUGCUCGGAAUAACUGGGCGUAAAGGGCGCGUAGGCGGCCGAUAGCUGUCAGAUGUGAAAUUUUUGGGCUCAACCCGAAAACUGCAUUUGAUACGUAUUGGCUAGAGUGCGAGAGAGGAUUGCGGAAUUCCCAGUGUAGAGGUGAAAUUCGUAGAUAUUCGGAAGAACACCAGUGGCGAANGCGGCUCACUGGACUGGUAUUGACGCUGAGGUGCGAAAGCGUGGGGAGCAAACNGGAUUAGAUACCCNGG
rnacentral:rRNA from 1 species